CCUGAAACCAAAUUUCAGAAUUCCUUGUCAAGUAGUUCCUAAGAAAAAUGUGACGAAACUUUCAACUUGGCUAUUAUGUGUAAAAUGAUACAAGUGUUCGGUAAACAGGAAGUUGUCGAGGGAUGAAUCUGAAAACGCAUCACACGGUAUAACUGACUUAUAUAAACCCUGAAACCAAAUUUCAGAAUUCCUUGUCAAGUAGUUCCUGAGAUAAAUGCGACCAAAA
rnacentral:lncRNA from 1 species